UUGCUCACGUGCAAAGCCCACGCAACAACCUGGCAGAAUGUAAACUGAUGUUUGUGUGACGUGUUGAGUGCGAGCAAAACUGACGUCUCUCAGAGUGGAUCACUACCUAGACGCCAGCUGCGAGAUUUUCUGAGUGUUGAUUGUCAUCUGAUUGUGAGCUAACAUACAGUCCAAAGGCUCUUUUAAGAGCCACAAGCACUGAGGAUCUUUGGCUUUCCAACCUCAACCAAGAUGUCGGUUGAGCAGGAGAUGACAUUGCCUACCACACCACAGGUGAUCAUGCUAGGGAGUAGUCUGCUGUUUGCAACCUACUGGAUGGUCAGAAUUGAGGGGAAGGUCUUCUAUGAAGCUAACCAACUUCAUAACUUUGCCAGUGCUUUCGCUGUCUUUUUCGGCUCCUUUUAUGUGUUCAAUCCGGAGUAUCAGGAGCCAGCAUCCACUACGCUGGAGACGGUACAGAGAAAGGAAUUGAUGCCACCUGACACCAGUGAUCUGCUGUGAUUGGUGGAGUAGAAGUUUGGAACUGUUUCUGAAGUGUAUUUUUAUUGUGAUUUUUUUUAUUUUAUUUGUUUUUUUU